UGCUGGCCGUCCGUCCCAGGUUCACCGACAUUGAGGGAGGCUGAGUCAGCACGUAGGCAGCCACAGAACCUGCAAGAGAGAAAAGGAGAGCCACUACAUCACUGUGUGACCAGACUGCUUGCAAGGACUGGGUGCCAUCUGACCAACCAUGCCAUGGAAUUGGGCAUACACAGCAACUGUCUAUCAUCAAAAAGGGGAGAUAGAUUUGAGAUCAGGCUUCAGCAGGUUCUGAAGGAACAGGUGAUCAUGACCAUCUGGACCAGGGUCAGUGAGCACAGGGCAGCUGGGUCAACACUGGAGGCCUUUCAGUAGCCUGGCCAUGAGGCUAAGCUGAACCCUUGCAGAGAUACAGACAACACCUGAUUCAUGGAAAGGCCUUUUUCUCUGUGGUGUUAGUAUUUAUGCAAAUUUCCUCCUCUCUGGGACUCCAACCACUUAUGAACUCAGACCAGGUGACUGAGGAGAAAGAAAGGAUCCCACAGCUUCUUCAGCAGCCCUCAGGUGUUGACCCAAAGAAGACACAGAGUCUUCUCUCAGAGCUUUCCAUCUUGGGGGUGAGGCCCAAUAAUAGACACACUGGUGUGCAGACCAGGUGGGAGACUAGACUUCUUUCUAUGUGUACAUUGUCACCUACAUAUAAUUGGAAUUCAGAAGCUUGUUUUUGUCAGGUCCCUGGCAGCCAGGCUUGACCAUGUGGCCCAGUGUGGACCAUGGAUGUAAGCUAAUGGGUGGAUAUUCUCAUGAAGCUUGCUGUCAUGAAGGAAGAAAGUAGAUGGGAUUCAUCAGCACCUUUCCUGAGGAACAUGGGGUAGGAGCUGGAGCUGAACCUUCCUGGGGGUGCAUCAUCAAUACGAAUGGAAGCAAAACCAACAUUGUGGGGUAAAGGGGAGGGAACACUGGCAAGACUGUGGGUGCUCAGGGGAUUGGUGAUCCCCUAAGAAAAACAACCUUCUUACCUCAGACUUCUUUUUGUGAGGAAAGUAGGCUCCACUCUUCAUGUCUCUGCUCUUCAUUAGUGUGUUCUUGCAGUGGACAAGCCUUCCUGGUGGAAUGGGGACCAAGGCAUCAGUGGUUCACCGAUAUUGAGGGUGGUUGAGUCAGCACAUAUGAGGCCAUGGAGCCUGCAAGAGAAGAGAUGAGAAGGAAGGUGAGUCAAGAGGAGCCCUGGGCAAACCUCGCUACAGACUGAGUGGGAACUGGAGC